rfam:Neotoma lepida isolate 417 scaffold_11543, whole genome shotgun sequence.
GCCCGGCUAGCUCAGUCGGUAGAGCAAGAGACUCUUAAUCUCAGGGUUGUGGGUUCAUGCCCCACAUUGGGUG